rnacentral:rRNA from 1 species
UACGUAGGGGCCUAGCGUUGUCCGGAAUUAUUGGGCGUAAAGGGCGCGUAGGCGGUUCCAAAAGUCAGGGGUGAAAUCCGGCAGCUUAACUGUCGCAGUGCCUUUGAUACUGUGGAGCUAGAGGGAGGUAGGGGUCUGUGGAAUUUCCGGUGGAGCGGUGAAAUGCGUUGAUAUCGGAAGGAACGCCGGUGGCGAAAGCGACGGACUGGAUCUCAUCUGACGCUGAGGCGCGAAAGCCAGGGGAGCAAACGGG